AUUGAACGCUGGCGGCAUGCCUUACACAUGCAAGUCGAACGGUAACAGGUCUUCGGAUGCUGACGAGUGGCGAACGGGUGAGUAAUACAUCGGAACGUGCCCGAUCGUGGGGGAUAACGCAGCGAAAGCUGUGCUAAUACCGCAUACGAUCUACGGAUGAAAGCGGGGGAUCGCAAGACCUCGCGCGGACGGAGCGGCCGAUGGCAGAUUAGGUAGUUGGUGGGAUAAAAGCUUACCAAGCCGACGAUCUGUAGCUGGUCUGAGAGGACGACCAGCCACACUGGGACUGAGACACGGCCCAGACUCCUACGGGAGGCAGCAGUGGGGAAUUUUGGACAAUGGGGGAAACCCUGAUCCAGCCAUGCCGCGUGCAGGAUGAAGGCCUUCGGUUGUAACGUAG
rnacentral:rRNA from 1 species